AAUGGGAGGCUUGGCAAGAAG
rnacentral:miRNA from 1 species